rnacentral:rRNA from 1 species
CGAGAAUUUUUCACAAUGGGUGCAAGCCUGAUGGAGCGACGCCGCGUGGGGGAUGAAGGGUUUCGAUCCGUAAACCCCUGUCAUUUGCGAACAAUGCUCAUUGGAUAACAUCCAACUGAGUUGAUAGUAGCGAAAGAGGAAGGGACGGCUAACUCUGUGCCAGCAGCCGCGGUAAUACAGAGGUCCCAAGCGUUGUUCGGAUUCACUGGGCGUAAAGGGUGCGUAGGUGGCCGGGUAAGUUCGGUGUGAAAGCUCGGAGCUCAACUCCGAAAUGGCAUUGAAUACUAUCCGGCUGGAGGGUCGGAGGGGAGACUGGAAUUCUCGGUGUAGCAGUGAAAUGCGUAGAUAUCGAGAGGAACACCAGUGGCGAAGGCGAGUCUCUGGACGACACCUGACACUGAGGCACGAAAGCUAGGGGAGCAAAC